GACGUAGGGCGCGAGCGUUGUCCGGAUUUACUGGGCGUAAAGCGCGCGCAGGCGGCAGUCUAAGUCCUCUGUGAAAUCACCCGGCUCAACUGGGUGGCUGCGGAGGAGACUGGGCAGCUUGGAGGGGCCUAGAGGCCGGUGGAACUCCCGGUGUAGUGGUGAAAUGCGCAGAUAUCAGGAGGAACACCGGUGGCGAAGGCGGAUCUCUGGGCCGUAACUGACGCUGAGGAGCGAAAGCAUGGGGAGCGAACAGG
rnacentral:rRNA from 1 species